rnacentral:tRNA from 1 species
CGGAGACUAGUUCAUCGGCAGAACGCUCGGUUCGGGACCGAGAGGUACGCGGUCCAAUUCCGCGGUCUCCGACAA